rnacentral:snRNA from 16 species
CUCGAUGGUGUGGUCGCCAGGUACUGGGUCGACAAGAAGAAGGAGGAAAAGGCGAAGAAGGAUGAAGCCAAGGCCAAGGUUGGCAGU